CUGAUCCCACACAACCCGCAGCAAGUGGCCAGUGAGUAGAGAACAGCAGAGAAGCCAUGUGGGGAAGCAGCAGGGGGAAAUGCUGGCUCUGUGGCCUUCUGGCUGCGUGACUUCAGUCAAGUUACUUACCCACUCUGAUCCUCAAAUGCUCUAAGAUUCGCGACCUGCCCAGGCUCUGCACCUCCUAUGUUGCUAAGGCCUCCCGCCUCCUGGCUGGCCCCACACGUGUUCUCCAUGCUGAUGGCAGUGAGUGACAGUGAGGCGUUCCUUGGGUGAAUAGAAAACCAAGGCCACCUGGAGCCCGCCCCACAUCCUGCUCUGGGGCCUGAAGAGCGCGGGCACCCUCAGCCAGCGCUGCGUGAGACCGGCAGGGGCAGCAGAGGAUUGGAAAGACUCAUUGAACUUCACCUGGUGGGCGUUGAAGAUUAAACCCGAACCACAGGCAAAGCCCCUCUCUACGAGGCUCACGUUCUAGGGGGAAGCAGCACUGUUCACAAGAGCUAAGACAUGGAAACAAUCCAAGUGCCUAUCGACUGAUGAUCGGAUACAGAAGAUGUGGGAUAUAUAUGAUGGAAUACUACUCAGCCAUAAAAAAAAACAAAAUCAUCCCAUUUGCAGCAAUAUGGAUGGACCUGGAGGGUAUUAUGCUAAGCAAAAUAAGCCAGACUGAGAAAGACAAACACCAUAUGAUUUCACUUAUAUGCAUAAUAUAAACAAAUACAUGGACAGAGAAAACAUUUCAGUGGUUACCAGGG
rnacentral:lncRNA from 1 species